rnacentral:rRNA from 1 species
CCUACGGGUGGCAGCAGUGGGGAAUAUUGGACAAUGGGGGCAACCCUGAUCCAGCCAUGCCGCGUGUGUGAAGAAGGCCCUCGGGUUGUAAAGCACUUUCAGUGAGGAAGAACGCCUGGUGGUUAAUACCCAUCAGGAAAGACAUCACUCACAGAAGAAGCACCGGCUAACUCCGUGCCAGCAGCCGCGGUAAUACGGAGGGUGCGAGCGUUAAUCGGAAUUACUGGGCGUAAAGCGCGCGUAGGUGGCUUGAUAAGCCGGUUGUGAAAGCCCCGGGCUCAACCUGGGAACGGCAUCCGGAACUGUCAAGCUAGAGUGCAGGAGAGGAAGGUAGAAUUCCCGGAGUAGCGGUGAAAUGCGUAGAGAUCGGGAGGAAUACCAGUGGCGAAGGCGGCCUUCUGGACUGACACUGACACUGAGGUGCGAAAGCGUGGGUAGCAAACAGGAUUAGAUACCCUUGUAGUC